GACGAACGCUGGCGGCGUGCUUAACACAUGCAAGUCGAACGGAAAGGCCCUGCUUUUGUGGGGUGCUCGAGUGGCGAACGGGUGAGUAACACGUGAGUAACCUGCCCUUGACUUUGGGAUAACUUCAGGAAACUGGGGCUAAUACCGGAUAGGAUCUCCUGCUGCAUGGUGGGGGUUGGAAAGUUUCGGCGGUUGGGGAUGGACUCGCGGCUUAUCAGCUUGUUGGUGGGGUAGUGGCUUACCAAGGCUUUGACCGGUAGCCGGCCUGAGAGGGUGACCGGCCACAUUGGGACUGAGAUACGGCACAGACUCCUACGGGAGGCAGCAGUGGGGAAUAUUGCACAAUGGGCGGAAGCCUGAUGCAGCAACGCCGCGUGGGGGAUGACGGCCUUCGGGUUGUAAACCGCUUUCGCCUGUGACGAAGCGUGAGUGACGGUAAUGGGUAAAGAAGCACCGGCUAACUACGUG
rnacentral:rRNA from 1 species